AUUGAACGCUGGCGGAAUGCUUUACACAUGCAAGUCGAACGGCAGCACGGGUGCUUGCACCUGGUGGCGAGUGGCGAACGGGUGAGUAAUAUAUCGGAACGUAUCCAAUAAUGGGGGAUAACUAAUCGAAAGGUUGGCUAAUACCGCAUACGCCCUACGGGGGAAAGCUAGGGACCUUCGGGCCUGGCGUUAAUGGAGCGGCCGAUAUCUGAUUAGCUAGUUGGUGGGGUAAUGGCCUACCAAGGCGACGAUCAGUAGCUGGUCUGAGAGGACGACCAGCCACACUGGAACUGAGACACGGUCCAGACUCCUACGGGAGGCAGCAGUGGGGAAUUUUGGACAAUGGGCGCAAGCCUGAUUCAGCCAUUCCGCGUGAGUGAAGAAGGCCUUCGGGUUGUAAAGCUCUUUCGCAAGGGAAGAAAACUUUUCCUCUAACAUAGGAUGAGGUUGACGGUACCUUGAUAAGAAGCACCGGCUAACUACGUGCCAGCAGCCGCAGUAAUAC
rnacentral:rRNA from 1 species